UUAAGCGACUAAGCGUACACGGUGGAUGCCCUGGCAGUCAGAGGCGAUGAAGGACGUGCUAAUCUGCGAUAAGCGUCGGUAAGGUGAUAUGAACCGUUAUAACCGGCGAUUUCCGAAUGGGGAAACCCAGUGUGUUUCGACACACUAUCAUUAACUGAAUCCAUAGGUUAAUGAGGCGAACCGGGGGAACUGAAACAUCUAAGUACCCCGAGGAAAAGAAAUCAACCGAGAUUCCCCCAGUAGCGGCGAGCGAACGGGGAGGAGCCCAGAGCCUGAAUCAGUGUGUGUGUUAGUGGAAGCGUCUGGAAAGGCGCGCGAUACAGGGUGACAGCCCCGUACACAAAAAUGCACAUGCUGUGAGCUCGAUGAGUAGGGCGGGACACGUGGUAUCCUGUCUGAAUAUGGGGGGACCAUCCUCCAAGGCUAAAUACUCCUGACUGACCGAUAGUGAACCAGUACCGUGAGGGAAAGGCGAAAAGAACCCCGGCGAGGGGAGUGAAAAAGAACCUGAAACCGUGUACGUACAAGCAGUGGGAGCACGCUUCGGCGUGUGACUGCGUACCUUUUGUAUAAUGGGUCAGCGACUUAUAUUCUGUAGCAAGGUUAACCGAAUAGGGGAGCCGAAGGGAAACCGAGUCUUAACUGGGCGUUAAGUUGCAGGGUAUAGACCCGAAACCCGGUGAUCUAGCCAUGGGCAGGUUGAAGGUUGGGUAACACUAACUGGAGGACCGAACCGACUAAUGUUGAAAAAUUAGCGGAUGACUUGUGGCUGGGGGUGAAAGGCCAAUCAAACCGGGAGAUAGCUGGUUCUCCCCGAAAGCUAUUUAGGUAGCGCCUCGUGAACUCAUCUCCGGGGGUAGAGCACUGUUUCGGCAAGGGGGUCAUCCCGACUUACCAACCCGAUGCAAACUGCGAAUACCGGAGAAUGUUAUCACGGGAGACACACGGCGGGUGCUAACGUCCGUCGUGAAGAGGGAAACAACCCAGACCGCCAGCUAAGGUCCCAAAGUCAUGGUUAAGUGGGAAACGAUGUGGGAAGGCCCAGACAGCCAGGAUGUUGGCUUAGAAGCAGCCAUCAUUUAAAGAAAGCGUAAUAGCUCACUGGUCGAGUCGGCCUGCGCGGAAGAUGUAACGGGGCUAAACCAUGCACCGAAGCUGCGGCAGCGACACUAUGUGUUGUUGGGUAGGGGAGCGUUCUGUAAGCCUGUGAAGGUGUGCUGUGAGGCAUGCUGGAGGUAUCAGAAGUGCGAAUGCUGACAUAAGUAACGAUAAAGCGGGUGAAAAGCCCGCUCGCCGGAAGACCAAGGGUUCCUGUCCAACGUUAAUCGGGGCAGGGUGAGUCGACCCCUAAGGCGAGGCCGAAAGGCGUAGUCGAUGGGAAACAGGUUAAUAUUCCUGUACUUGGUGUUACUGCGAAGGGGGGACGGAGAAGGCUAUGUUGGCCGGGCGACGGUUGUCCCGGUUUAAGCGUGUAGGCUGGUUUUCCAGGCAAAUCCGGAAAAUCAAGGCUGAGGCGUGAUGACGAGGCACUACGGUGCUGAAGCAACAAAUGCCCUGCUUCCAGGAAAAGCCUCUAAGCAUCAGGUAACAUCAAAUCGUACCCCAAACCGACACAGGUGGUCAGGUAGAGAAUACCAAGGCGCUUGAGAGAACUCGGGUGAAGGAACUAGGCAAAAUGGUGCCGUAACUUCGGGAGAAGGCACGCUGAUAUGUAGGUGAAGCGACUUGCUCGUGGAGCUGAAAUCAGUCGAAGAUACCAGCUGGCUGCAACUGUUUAUUAAAAACACAGCACUGUGCAAACACGAAAGUGGACGUAUACGGUGUGACGCCUGCCCGGUGCCGGAAGGUUAAUUGAUGGGGUUAGCGGUAACGCGAAGCUCUUGAUCGAAGCCCCGGUAAACGGCGGCCGUAACUAUAACGGUCCUAAGGUAGCGAAAUUCCUUGUCGGGUAAGUUCCGACCUGCACGAAUGGCGUAAUGAUGGCCAGGCUGUCUCCACCCGAGACUCAGUGAAAUUGAACUCGCUGUGAAGAUGCAGUGUACCCGCGGCAAGACGGAAAGACCCCGUGAACCUUUACUAUAGCUUGACACUGAACAUUGAGCCUUGAUGUGUAGGAUAGGUGGGAGGCUUUGAAGUGUGGACGCCAGUCUGCAUGGAGCCGACCUUGAAAUACCACCCUUUAAUGUUUGAUGUUCUAACGUGGACCCGUGAUCCGGGUUGCGGACAGUGUCUGGUGGGUAGUUUGACUGGGGCGGUCUCCUCCUAAAGAGUAACGGAGGAGCACGAAGGUUGGCUAAUCCUGGUCGGACAUCAGGAGGUUAGUGCAAUGGCAUAAGCCAGCUUGACUGCGAGCGUGACGGCGCGAGCAGGUGCGAAAGCAGGUCAUAGUGAUCCGGUGGUUCUGAAUGGAAGGGCCAUCGCUCAACGGAUAAAAGGUACUCCGGGGAUAACAGGCUGAUACCGCCCAAGAGUUCAUAUCGACGGCGGUGUUUGGCACCUCGAUGUCGGCUCAUCACAUCCUGGGGCUGAAGUAGGUCCCAAGGGUAUGGCUGUUCGCCAUUUAAAGUGGUACGCGAGCUGGGUUUAGAACGUCGUGAGACAGUUCGGUCCCUAUCUGCCGUGGGCGCUGGAGAACUGAGGGGGGCUGCUCCUAGUACGAGAGGACCGGAGUGGACGCAUCACUGGUGUUCGGGUUGUCAUGCCAAUGGCACUGCCCGGUAGCUAAAUGCGGAAGAGAUAAGUGCUGAAAGCAUCUAAGCACGAAACUUGCCCCGAGAUGAGUUCUCCCUGACCCUUUAAGGGUCCUGAAGGAACGUUGAAGACGACGACGUUGAUAGGCCGGGUGUGUAAGCGCAGCGAUGCGUUGAGCUAACCGGUACUAAUGAACCGUGAGGCUUAACCUU
rnacentral:rRNA from 1 species